AGUGAACGCUGGCGGCAGGCCUAACACAUGCAAGUCGAACGAGUGGCGGACGGGUGAGGAAUACAUCGGAAUCUACUUAACCGAGGGGGAAAACGGAGGGAAACUUACGCUAAUACUGCAAACGGCUGAAUGGGCCGAUGUGGGAUUAGCUAGUUGGCGGGGUAAAGGCCCACCAAGGCGACGAUCCGUAGCUGGUCUGAGAGGAUGAUCAGCCACACUGGAACUGAGACACGGUCCAGACUCCUACGGGAGGCAGCAGUGGGGAAUAUUGGACAAUGGGCGCAAGCCUGAUCCAGCCAUACCGCGUGGGUGAAGAAGGCCUUCGGGUUGUAAAGCCCUUUUGUUGGGAAAGCGGUACCCAAAGAAUAAGCACCGGCUAACUUCGUGCCAGCCGCCGCGGUAAUAC
rnacentral:rRNA from 1 species